ensembl:lncRNA
GGAAGUCUGAGUGACUGGAAUGGGAUGGGGAGGUGGGGGGGACAGAGUCUCACUCUGUAGUUCAGUCUGGCCUUGAACUCACUAUGUGUAGCCCAGGCUGGCCUCGAACUUGUGUCGAUCUUCCUGUCUCAGCCUCCUGAGUGCUGGGCUUGUAGGCCUGUGCUACCAUGCCCAGCUAUCAGAUUUUACUUUGAAUGAGGUUUUUAUGUGAAAUUGGAUCUUGUCAGAUUCAAAUGUAAGAUAUAAUGAAUUUUUUGAGUCAGCAUCUGUCUUUAUUAAGCUGUUCUCAUUUUACAUAAAUUUUGGUUUUUGUGAUAAGAACAGACGUCUUAAGGAAGGACUUGCUUGAUUUCAGCUUUUUUGUUGCCCUGGUUGCUGUGGAAAACUCUCGAGUUAGAGAACUCCGAACCAAGAGGAGUUUCGGCUUUUAGCAGAUUAUUGGUACUGCCAAGACAGAAUUUAGUGGGAACAGGACUUUGGCUACUGUUAAAAUGUCACUAUAGUAAAGCCUGCUCUGUCAAACAGAUUUUUGGCAUCGGAAGUCCAAAUGAUACUGAUUUUAGGGGGUUGAGGUUUUGUUUUUUUUUUAACUCAGGCAAACUCAUGAUUUAAUUAACCCUUUACACAGUAACAGAAAAUGUGGAAAAAAUUUUGUUUUCCUAAUUUAGGUCACAAGAUGUGAGUUUCUGAAAUUCUAAUUUUUUUUCAUGAUUCUAAAACUACGCAGCUUGUUACUUAAUUCCCCUCCAAAUAAACUGGAGCUAUUUAAAAACCUGAUGAGUGACAAAGAAUAACUGAGGAAAGUGUCUAAUCAUUCAGGGAGCCAACUUCCAAAUCCAACAAACCAAUAGUAUCGGUUUAAGUUUGAGCAUCUUGAGACUUGAUGUCAGAGGUGGAUUUGGGGGAAUACUGUGAUACAGCAUACACAUUGCCUACAGGUGCCCUUAGCUUUGUCUGAAAUAAUCUCCCUUGGGGCAACAGGCCUGGAGCCAGAUUUGUUAGAGUCGCUCUUUGAAUGUCCAGCGAGAGUAGAAAUGUCAAGUGUAUAAGCUCCAGCGGAUCUUUUCAUUCUUCCUGUAAGGUUCCUGAUUCAAUCUCAUUUGUCAGUAACAAUUUUUAUUAUUGUGGAUACACAGUGUCAUUUGGAAAAAAAUGUUUGGAUAAUCAGAGGGAUAUAAGGCAGAUAAGUGAAAAAUCCAUCAGGAAGAGAGGUGUUUUAAAAAUUACAAAAGCAAAUCCUUAUUUUCUUCAGGACUUGAAUUAGAUGUUGGAAGGUAAACAUCAAUAUUCAGCGUCACCAACUAAAAUGCCAUUGUCUGCCAUAUUUGGUUUUCUGUGUAUUCACAUUUGGUCUUUUGCAGUUAUUCCUACAGAAGGGUACAGGGGUAAAGUUAAAUAUCAGUUAGUGGCACCUGAUUUAAAUUAUGUACAGGAGACCAUUUUUGUUAAGACUCUCCUGAGAAUGGACAUGGCUAGAAUGUUAAAUGUAGAAAGCCUGCUUGCUGGUUACACUGAGAGUUCUGGCUCCUCUGGCCUAGUCGGGUCAUCCAGGUCAGUGUUCUUUGAAAUAAUUUUGUUUUGAGUUAAAUAAGGGUACUCCUUAAUUUGUGAGGUUCUCUGAGGAUUACACACUUAUAGGAGGAGCCUACUGAAUACCAGUGGUUAUGGUGAUGGUGAGUAGUUGUGAUAAUAAUUUUGCAUUUUUGGUAAGAAAGCAUUUCAUCUGGAAUUUGUAAGCUUGUUUCACAGUAUGUAUGGCAUAUAUAAUCAGCAACCUCUCCAUGACUUUACCACUAAACCUGAUCAUGUACAUUAGCCUAGGUGAGGGUUUUUUUCCAAAUAAUUUCUCCCAUCACAAAUUGGUAGUAAAUACAAAAUAGUUUGUAAAAAAAGGAAAAACCUCAACCAUUAAGAUAUCUUCCCC